AUACGGAGGGUGCAAGCGUUAAUCGGAAUUACUGGGCGUAAAGCGUACGUAGGCGGUUAUUUAAGUCAGAUGUGAAAGCCCCGGGCUUAACUUGGGAACUGCAUUUGAAACUGGGUAACUAGAGUUUAGUAGAGGGGAGUGGAAUUUCAGGUGUAGCGGUGAAAUGCGUAGAGAUCUGAAGGAACACCAGUGGCGAAGGCGACUCCCUGGACUCGAACUGACGCUGAGGUACGAAAGCGUGGGUAGCAAACGGCAUUAGAAACCCCAGUAGUCC
rnacentral:rRNA from 1 species